rnacentral:rRNA from 1 species
UACGUAGGGUGCAAGCGUUGUCCGGAAUUAUUGGGCGUAAAGAGCUCGUAGGCGGUUUGUUGCGUCGGCUGUGAAAUCCCGAGGCUCAACCUCGGGUCUGCAGUCGAUACGAGCAAACUAGAGUGUUGCAGGGGAGACUGGAAUUCCUGGUGUAGCGGUGAAAUGCGCAGAUAUCAGGAGGAACACCGGUGGCGAAGGCGGGUCUCUGGGGCCUA